rnacentral:rRNA from 1 species
UGAUCAUGGCUCAGAUUGACCGCUGGCGUGACAGGCCUAACACAUGCAAGUCAAACGGUAGCACAGAGAGCUUGCUCUCGGGUGACGAGUGGCGGACGGGUGAGUAAUGUCUGGGAAACUGCCUGAUGGAGGGGGAUAACUACUGGAAACGGUAGCUAAUACCGCGUAACGUCGCAAGACCAAAGAGGGGGACCUUCGGGCCUCUUGCCAUCAGAUGUGCCCAGAUGGGAUUAGCUAGUAGGUGGGGUAACGGCUCACCUAGGCGACGAUCCCUAGCUGGUCUGAGAGGAUGAC